rnacentral:rRNA from 1 species
CAGGCCUAACACAUGCAAGUCGAGCGCGUAGCAAUACGAGCGGCAGACGGGUGAGUAACACGUGGGAAUCUACCUUUUGCUACGGAACAACUCUGGGAAACUGGAGCUAAUACCGUAUGUGCCCUUUGGGGGAAAGAUUUAUCGGCAAGAGAUGAGCCCGCGUCGGAUUAGCUAGUUGGUGGGGUAAAGGCCUACCAAGGCGACGAUCCGUAGCUGGUCUGAGAGGAUGAUCAGCCACACUGGGACUGAGACACGGCCCAGACUCCUACGGGAGGCAGCAGUGGGGAAUAUUGGACAAUGGGGGCAACCCUGAUCCAGCCAUGCCGCGUGAGUGAUGAAGGCCCUAGGGUUGUAAAGCUCUUUCACCGGUGAAGAUAAUGACGGUAACCGGAGAAGAAGCCCCGGCUAACUUCGUGCCAGCAGCCGCGGUAAU